CAGUCGUACCGACGAGAAACCAACUUAUAGUGUGCGAACUUGUGGACGUGCGUGAGUUUCGGCCUCGCUGUCUACAUGUUUGUUCGCUUUGGGUGUACUUUUUCGUAUGGUAGGCCAACGUCAGUUUCGAUUAUCAUAAAAUGACCGGCGGAAUGUAGCUUCGAUUUCGGUUGAAGUGUUAUAGCCUCUGGUAGAUGUGGUGAUUGGGACUGAGGAUUGCAACGAAUACCCUUUGGGCUAUCCGUCUGGCCUCUGAAAGUUGCUCAGGUGCCGAAAGCGUGCUUACGGUCAUCUAAGAUAACGUUCAACAGGUUAGAACGUGAUUACAUUCGUUAAGGACGUUGGCGUAAUGGCUUUAAACGA
rnacentral:rRNA from 1 species